CGGAUCAAUGAUGACUACUCGUGUUGUAUGAGCCGUGUAUGGUAAAUAACGUGUCUGAAACCCUGAGGCUUGU
ensembl:snoRNA